UACGUAGGGUGCAAGCGUUUGUCCGGAAUUAUUGGGCGUAAAGAGCUCGUAGGCGGUUUGUUGCGUCGGCUGUGAAUCCCGAGGCUCAACCUCGGGUCUGCAGUCGAUACGAGCAAACUAGAGUGUUGCAGGGGAGACUGGAAUUCCUGGUGUAGCGGUGAAAUGCGCAGAUAUCAGGAGGAACACCGGUGGCGAAGGCGGGUCUCUGGGCAACAACUGACGCUGGAGGAGCGAAAGCGUGGGGAGCGAACAGG
rnacentral:rRNA from 1 species